GUGCCCGUAGGUCCUUGAAGCCGGUGCGUUUGCCGCGCGCGGCUUCUCGGUUAAAAGGGAAGCCGGUGCAAAUCCGGCACGGUCCCGCCA
rnacentral:tRNA from 1 species